rnacentral:rRNA from 1 species
GGUGCUGCAUGGUUGUCGUCAGCUCGUGCCGUGAGGUGUCGGGUUAAGUCCCAUAACGAGCGCAACCCUUAUCGUUAGUUGCCAGCGGGUAAUGCCGGGAACUCUAGCGAAACUGCCGGUGUAAACCGUGAGGAAGGUGGGGAUGACGUCAAAUCAGCACGGCCCUUAUGUCCAGGGCUACACACGUGUUACAAUGGCCGGUACAGAGGGCAGCUACCUGGAGACAGGAUGCGAAUCUCCAAAGCCGGUCUCAGUUCGGAUCGGAGUCUGCAACUCGACUCCGUGAAGCUGGAUUCGCUAGUAAUCGCGCAUCAGCCAUGGCGCGGUGAAUACGUUCCCGGGCCUU